rnacentral:lncRNA from 1 species
CUUAUGUGUUGUUUAACUUUCCGUUGAUUUCUAUGUUCCUGACUGGAUUAUUUGGCAGCAGGUCAUAACCCUUUUAUCGAGAGAGGUUGUGUCAGGUUGGACAAUUUUUAUUUUCUGGACAAUCGCAUACGCGACAAUGCACGGCCCCGGUUAAUUUGGUAUCGGCAAUUCUUUCAGCCCCAGUUUAGUACUUAAGCCGCUUGCGAUAGGUUGUAUGAAAAAAUAUAGAUAGCCAGCGAAGCUUUUUGACUUUGUUGUUUUCUCAGAUUUGCUUUUUAAGACCGUUGAGGCUGUCCACAAUUUUGGUCUUUCUGGGCUUCUUCAGCUGGGCCCC